UGGGGAAUCUUGGACAAUGGGGGCAACCCUGAUCCAGCCAUGCCGCGUGGGUGAAGAAGGCCUUAGGGUUGUAAAGCCCUUUCAGUCGUGACGAUGAUGACGGUAGCGACAGAAGAAGCCCCGGCUGACUCCGUGCCAGCAGCCGCGGUAAGACGGAGGAUGCAAGCGUUAUCCGGAAUUAUUGGGCGUAAAGCGUCCGUAGGCGGUUUAUCAAGUCCGCUGUCAAAGACUGCAGCUCAACUGUGGACCGGCAGUGGAAACUGAUGAACUAGAGUGCGGUAGGGGUAGAGGGAAUUCCCAGUGUAGCGGUGAAAUGCGUAGAUAUUGGGAAGAACACCAGUGGCGAAGGCGCUCUACUGGGCCGCAACUGACGCUGAGGGACGAAAGCUAGGGGAGCGAAAGGGAUUAGAUACCCCCGUAGUCC
rnacentral:rRNA from 1 species